rnacentral:rRNA from 1 species
UCCACGCCGUAAACGAUGUCAACUAGGUGUAGGGGGUGUUGAUCCCCUCUGUGCCGCAGCUAACGCAUUAAGUUGACCGCCUGGGGAGUACGGUCGCAAGAUUAAAACUCAAAGGAAUUGACGGGGGCCCGCACAAGCGGUGGAGUAUGUGGUUUAAUUCGAUGCAACGCGAAGAACCUUACCUGGUCUUGACAUCCCGAGGAUCUCCUGGAAACAGGAGAGUGCUUUCAUUA